GAUGAACGCUGGCGGCGUGCCUAAUACAUGCAAGUCGAGCGAACAGACGAGGAGCUUGCUCCUCUGACGUUAGCGGCGGACGGGUGAGUAACACGUGGAUAACCUACCUAUAAGACUGGGAUAACUUCGGGAAACCGGAGCUAAUACCGGAUAAUAUAUUGAACCGCAUGGUUCAAUAGUGAAAGACGGUUUUGCUGUCACUUAUAGAUGGAUCCGCGCCGCAUUAGCUAGUUGGUAAGGUAACGGCUUACCAAGGCAACGAUGCGUAGCCGACCUGAGAGGGUGAUCGGCCACACUGGAACUGGGACACGGUCCAGACUCCUACGGGAGGCAGCAGUAGGGAAUCUUCCGCAAUGGGCGAAAGCCUUACGGAGCAACGCCGCGUGAGUGAUGAAGGUCUUCGGAUCGUAAAACUCUGUUAUUAGGGAAGAACAAAUGUGUAAGUAACUAUGCACGUCUUGACGGUACCUAAUCAGAAAGCCACGGCUAACUACGUG
rnacentral:rRNA from 1 species